GCCCAGAGCCUGAAUCAGUGUGUGUGUUAGUGGAAGCGUCUGGAAAGGCGCGCGAUACAGGGUGACAGCCCCGUACACAAAAAUGCACAUACUGUGAGCUCGAUGAGUAGGGCGGGACACGUGGUAUCCUGUCUGAAUAUGGGGGGACCAUCCUCCAAGGCUAAAUACUCCUGACUGACCGAUAGUGAACCAGUACCGUGAGGGAAAGGCGAAAAGAACCCCGGCGAGGGGAGUGAAAAAGAACCUGAAACCGUGUACGUACAAGCAGUGGGAGCACGCUUAGGCGUGUGACUGCGUACCUUUUGUAUAAUGGGUCAGCGACUUAUAUUCUGUAGCAAGGUUAACCGAAUAGGGGAGCCGAAGGGAAACCGAGUCUUAACUGGGCGUUAAGUUGCAGGGUAUAGACCCGAAACCCGGUGAUCUAGCCAUGGGCAGGUUGAAGGUUGGGUAACACUAACUGGAGGACCGAACCGACUAAUGUUGAAAAAUUAGCGGAUGACUUGUGGCUGGGGGUGAAAGGCCAAUCAAACCGGGAGAUAGCUGGUUCUCCCCGAAAGCUAUUUAGGUAGCGCCUCGUGAAUUCAUCUCCGGGGGUAGAGCACUGUUUCGGCAAGGGGGUCAUCCCGACUUACCAACCCGAUGCAAACUGCGAAUACCGGAGAAUGUUAUCACGGGAGACACACGGCGGGUGCUAACGUCCGUCGUGAAGAGGGAAACAACCCAGACCGCCAGCUAAGGUCCCAAAGUCAUGGUUAAGUGGGAAACGAUGUGGGAAGGCCCAGACAGCCAGGAUGUUGGCUUAGAAGCAGCCAUCAUUUAAAGAAAGCGUAAUAGCUCACUGGUCGAGUCGGCCUGCGCGGAAGAUGUAACGGGGCUAAACCAUGCACCGAAGCUGCGGCAGCGACGCUUAUGCGUUGUUGGGUAGGGGAGCGUUCUGUAAGCCUGUGAAGGUGUACUGUGAGGUAUGCUGGAGGUAUCAGAAGUGCGAAUGCUGACAUAAGUAACGAUAAAGCGGGUGAAAAGCCCGCUCGCCGGAAGACCAAGGGUUCCUGUCCAACGUUAAUCGGGGCAGGGUGAGUCGACCCCUAAGGCGAGGCCGAAAGGCGUAGUCGAUGGGAAACAGGUUAAUAUUCCUGUACUUGGUGUUACUGCGAAGGGGGGACGGAGAAGGCUAUGUUGGCCGGGCGACGGUUGUCCCGGUUUAAGCGUGUAGGCUGGUUUUCCAGGCAAAUCCGGAAAAUCAAGGCUGAGGCGUGAUGACGAGGCACUACGGUGCUGAAGCAACAAAUGCCCUGCUUCCAGGAAAAGCCUCUAAGCAUCAGGUAACAUCAAAUCGUACCCCAAACCGACACAGGUGGUCAGGUAGAGAAUACCAAGGCGCUUGAGAGAACUCGGGUGAAGGAACUAGGCAAAAUGGUGCCGUAACUUCGGGAGAAGGCACGCUGAUAUGUAGGUGAAGUCCCUCGCGGAUGGAGCUGAAAUCAGUCGAAGAUACCAGCUGGCUGCAACUGUUUAUUAAAAACACAGCACUGUGCAAACACGAAAGUGGACGUAUACGGUGUGACGCCUGCCCGGUGCCGGAAGGUUAAUUGAUGGGGUUAGCGCAAGCGAAGCUCUUGAUCGAAGCCCCGGUAAACGGCGGCCGUAACUAUAACGGUCCUAAGGUAGCGAAAUUCCUUGUCGGGUAAGUUCCGACCUGCACGAAUGGCGUAAUGAUGGCCAGGCUGUCUCCACCCGAGACUCAGUGAAAUUGAACUCGCUGUGAAGAUGCAGUGUACCCGCGGCAAGACGGAAAGACCCCGUGAACCUUUACUAUAGCUUGACACUGAACAUUGAGCCUUGAUGUGUAGGAUAGGUGGGAGGCUUUGAAGUGUGGACGCCAGUCUGCAUGGAGCCGACCUUGAAAUACCACCCUUUAAUGUUUGAUGUUCUAACGUGGACCCGUAAUCCGGGUUGCGGACAGUGUCUGGUGGGUAGUUUGACUGGGGCGGUCUCCUCCUAAAGAGUAACGGAGGAGCACGAAGGUUGGCUAAUCCUGGUCGGACAUCAGGAGGUUAGUGCAAUGGCAUAAGCCAGCUUGACUGCGAGCGUGACGGCGCGAGCAGGUGCGAAAGCAGGUCAUAGUGAUCCGGUGGUUCUGAAUGGAAGGGCCAUCGCUCAACGGAUAAAAGGUACUCCGGGGAUAACAGGCUGAUACCGCCCAAGAGUUCAUAUCGACGGCGGUGUUUGGCACCUCGAUGUCGGCUCAUCACAUCCUGGGGCUGAAGUAGGUCCCAAGGGUAUGGCUGUUCGCCAUUUAAAGUGGUACGCGAGCUGGGUUUAGAACGUCGUGAGACAGUUCGGUCCCUA
rnacentral:rRNA from 1 species